rnacentral:rRNA from 1 species
CCUACGUGAGGCAGCAGUGGGGAAUAUUGCACAAUGGGGGAAACCCUGAUGCAGCGACGCCGCGUGAGUGAAGAAGUAUUUCGGUAUGUCAAGCUCUAUCAGCAGGGAAGAAAAUGACGGUACCUGAUUCAGAAGCCCCGUCUAACUACGUUCCAGCAGCCGCUGUAAUACGUAGGGGGCCAGCGUUCUCCGGAUUUACUGUGUGUAAAGGGAGCGUAGACGGCAGCACAAGUCUGGAGUGAAAUGCCGGGGCUUAACCCCGGAACUGCUUUGGAAACUGUGCAGCUAGAGUGCAGGAGAGGUAAGUGGAAUUCCUAGUGUAGCGGUGAAAUGCGUAGAUAUUAGGAGGAACACCAGUGGCGAAGGCGGCUUACUGGACUGUAACUGACGUGGAGGCUCGAAAGCGUGGGGAGCAAACAGGAUGAGAUACCCGAGUAGUC